rnacentral:rRNA from 1 species
GAUGAACGCUGGCGGCGUGCUUAACACAUGCAAGUCGAACGGAAAGACGCGGCGCUUGCGCGGCUGACGUUAGCCGCGGGCGUGAGAGAAACGCGAGUAAACCGUCCUUGUAAGUCUGGGAUCACCUCGGGAAACCGGAGCUAAUACGGUAUAAGAUAUUGCACCGCGUGGGUGAAUAGUGAGUGACGGUGUUGCGGUCACUUCUAGAUGGAUACGGGCCUGAUGAGCUAGUUGGGAGGGUCAAGGCUUUCCAAGGCAACGAUGCGUAGCCGACCUGAGAGGCGGAUCGGCCACACUGGAACUGAGACACGGACCAGACUCCUACGGGAGGCAGCAGUAGGGAAUGUUCGGCAAUGGGCGAAAGCCUGACAGAGCAAGGCCGCGUGAGUGAUGAAGGCCUUCGGAUCGUAAAACCCUGUUAUUAGGGAAGAACAGAUGUGGCCGUAGCUAAGCAGGUAUUGACGGUACCGGAUCAAGAAGCAACGGCUAACUACGUG